GAUGAACGCUGGCGGCGUGCCUAAUACAUGCAAGUCGAGCGAACAGAUGAGGAGCUUGCCCCUCUUACGUUAGCGGCGGACGGGUGAGUAACACGUGGAUAACCUACCUAUAAGACUGGGAUAACUUCGGGAAACCGGAUCUAAUAUCGGUUAUUAUAUUGAACCGCAUGGUUCAAUAGUGAAAGACGGUUUUGCUGUCACUUAUAGAUGGAUCCGCGCCGCAUUAGCUAGUUGGUAAGGUAACGGCUUACCAAGGCAACGAUGCGUAGCCGACCUGAGAGGGUGAUCGGCCACACUGGAACUGAGACACGGUCCAGACUCCUACGGGAGGCAGCAGUAGGGAAUCUUCCGCAAUGGGCGAAAGCUUGACGGAGCAACGCCGCGUGAGUGAUGAAGGUCUUCGGAUCGUAAAACUCUGUUAGUAGGGAAGAACAAAAGUGUAAGUAACUAUGCACGUCUUGACGGUACCUAAUCAGAAAGCCACGGCUAACUACGUG
rnacentral:rRNA from 1 species